CUCAUUUUUCUCUUCAAAACUCCCCUCUCUUCACACAAUGUCGGGUUGGUCCUAGAUUUGAACACCUUCACGGAUCUCUUGUAGUCCGAUGGAUCACCUACAACCCUUCCGUUUGAUGAGUCUUCUCCACUACAUCGUCGCUCCGAUGUUUCAGCCUCAGACCCCGUGCAUUAUUUCCGGCUGCGCGUCCACCACCACACCCUUAUCCCUGUCAUUUAUCAUAUGGUCAACCUCUAGCUUCCCAAGCCAUAAUUUAAGCUUCAUUCCCAGUACGUCCGUAUGCCCCUCCCCACCUGCUACGGAUGGAAGUCAAGAGGGCAAAGGCGGUUGCGCGAAAGACAAAAAUGAAGGGGAAAGGGAAGGAAGGCACGAGCAGCAGAUCAACAAGUGAAGCAUUCAAAAUGAAGAGCUUGUGGGGUGGAUUAGUGAAGGACAAUCUGUUGAAGCAAUGGAACAUCCUAAAGGGUCGAUCAACCAGGGAUAUGGACCCGGCUGAAAGACGUACCCAUGCUAGGGUCGUAAAGAUGGUCCAAAAAGAACUUGGUCUGAUAGAUGACGAAAAGAGGAACCGGAACUGGAACGUGAAGAGGAGGAAGAUGAGGUCGAGGAGUCUAAUUAGAGUCAUGUAAUUUUAUUUUAAUUAUUAUGCACUUUGUAGUUUUUAAUGCAAUAAAAAUAUUAUGUUUUGUGGUUUCCGA
rnacentral:misc_RNA from 1 species